GAUGAAGAACGUAGCGAAAUGCGAUACGUAGUGUGAAUUGCAGAAUUCCGUGAACCAUCAAAUCUUUGAACGCAUAUUGCGCUCGAGGCUUCGGCCGAGAGCAUGUCUGCCUCAGCGUCGGUAUUACCCCUCGCUUCUCAACCCCUGGUUGAUGCCUGCCUGCCUUUGCAGUUGGUUAGAAGCGGAUCUGGCUUUCCCAAUUGCCUUUGGUAGUUGGGUCAGCUGAAGCACAGAGGCUUGAGCAAGGACCCUUAUUGGGCUUCAACUGGAUAGGUAGAACUGGUCUUAGGACCAACUACACGAAGUUGUUGCUUGUGGUCUUUUGUCUGGAGGCCAGCAGGAAACCUUUAUACCUUCGACCUGAGCUCAGGCAAGAUUACCCGCUGAACUUAAGCAUAUCAAUAAGCGGAGGA
rnacentral:misc_RNA from 1 species